CCUACGGGAGACAGCAGUGGGGAAUAUUGCGCAAUGGGCGAAAGCCUGACGCAGCGACGCCGCGUGAGGGAUGAAGGUCUUCGGAUCGUAAACCUCUGUCAGCAGGGAAGAACGGUCACUGUGCUAAUCAGCAGUGAAUUGACGGUACCUGCAAAGGAAGCACCGGCUAACUCCGUGCCAGCAGCCGCGGUAAUCCGGAGGGUGCGAGCGUUAAUCGGAGUUACUGGGCGUAAAGCGCUCGUAGGCGGUAUGUCAAGUCAAGGGUGAAAUCCCCGCGCUCAACGUGGGAACUGCCUUUGAAACUGGCAAACUGGGGUGUGUGAGAGGAUAGUGGAAUUCCAGGUGUAGGAGUGAAAUCCGUAGAUAUCUGGAGGAACAUCAGUGGCGAAGGCGACUAUCUGGCACAUAACUGACGCUGAGGAGCGAAAGCGUGGGUAGCAAACAGGAUUAGAUACCCCUGUAGUC
rnacentral:rRNA from 1 species